rnacentral:lncRNA from 1 species
GGAGAAGGGACUUACAUGUGAAACAAGCUUGUUCCCUAACUUGAACUAAUAAAGAAAAAACAAAGAAACAACAACAACAACAACAACAACAACAACAACAAAAACCUCAAGUUUCAAGGAAAUGGUAUUUGAGUCCUCUGCAUAAACUGGCAACAACACAACCAGUAACACCAGGAAGGGAAGAUGGGCUUGCUGCUACUGGAUGAAUGUUGUGUCCGCUUGUUGGUGGAGAAAGCCAAAGGCCUGUGGGAUGGAAUUUCAGCAGGGUUUCUGAUUUAAUUCUCUCUCCGAGUGUUGGAAUCCAUUCACCAAGAGCUAGCAGCAAAAUUGGGGUGUUGAUACAGGCAUAGCAAAAUGCAGUUUCCACUCGUAAGUGGUAAAGUUAGCCCUCAUGUGGGCUGGGUGGGGAGACAACAUUCCUC